GGUAGGAUGGCCGAGUGGUCAAAGGCAACAGACUGUAAAUCUGUCGGCGUGAGCCUACGCUAGUUCGAACCUAGCUCCUACCACCA
rnacentral:tRNA from 3 species